GUGCCGGUGGUGUAAUGGUAGCAUGUAACUCUUCCAAAGUUGAGGCGCGAGGACUGGAAACGUUCACUUGAACGUCCUCCAUUAGCGAAUUCGAUUCUCGCCCGGCAUA
rnacentral:tRNA from 1 species